UAGAAAAUCCAGGAUUCAUCUCAAAGUCAAGGUUGAUACUGAGCUGAUAAGGGCUGAAGCUUGGUGAGGAAACUGAGUGCUGAGGGCACAGGGCCCCCUGGGGUCACGUGUCGGGAUACACAGCAGCAAUGCAGGGGGGUGGACGCCAAGCUUCCCGAUCCCCAGGCCACACACAGGCCGCAUCUCAGAUCACGUGUUGCACAACCAGAAAACAUUCUAGAGCACAACUAACGAUGAGAAUCCUUGUGGAUGGAGCCCUGAGAGGGGUGCAGACAUGCAUCAGUGGCCCCCACGUUCCUAGAAUAAGCACCAGUUCUCGGCAUGCAUGUCAGUGCUAUCUACGGGGUGGCGCCUAAUCCAUCAUAUUCACGGAGGACCCGCUAAAGAGGUGGAUGGGAAGAGCGGUGAGAGAAUGGACUCAGGGCCGGCCUGCAUCCCACGUAGAGCCGUGCGAUGCUGAGUGAGCUACCGAACCCCUCUGUGGCCCAGCUGGCUCGUCUAUAAAACGAGGAUGCUCAUAGCUCCCAUCUGAGCGUGCGGUUGGAGGGACUGCAUGAGUUUCUACACGAAGGCUGUCGGCGUUGGUCUGGCCCAGGGGACGCGUGCGGUCAACGUCCACUGUUGUGGUUGUUACGCUGUGCCAGUCCCUGCAGAUAAAUGACCUCACCCUGCUCCAUCCUCAGCACCGCCCUGAUGUCAUUACCCCAUUUGAGGGAUGAGAAAUCUGAGGCUCCAAGAGGCUGAAUAACUUGCUAACAAGGAGCAAAACCAGAUUUCCAGUCUAGAUAGGCCUGGUUCCCGGGCCACCUGGAACCCAGAAGGCGCCUCUGCUCCAAGAUGCACGGGCUGGAUGUUCAGCCUUAGCUCGGCCCCUCGGCCAGCUCUGAGCAGUGGACAAGCUGCGUGACCAGUCACCAUGGGCCUGUCUGAAUCCAAAGCUUCCCACUCCUGUUAGCCAAGGAGAGGCCGCCCCCGCCCGGACCUGCAGCGCAGAGUCCAGGCCCUGCUCUGUGUCCUCCCAGCUGGGUAACUGUGAGCAAAAUCGUUUACUGAGCCUCAAUCCCCUCAUCUGUAAAAUGGGCCUGUUGUUGGUAUUUACGUCACGAGGCUGGAAAAAAUAAAUGACAGAGGCCUCUGCUGCUCUCGCUUGGCAGAGUUCCCAGCACUUGCUAGCUGCCCGACAAUUAUGGAGGCUCCGGACUGUGUCGUCACCCACCCUCCAGCCUCCACGUCCAGAAGGACAAGAUGUCUCCAUAGCAGAGUCCUUCAAAGGCAGUUUCGUUUCUACAACCCAGCCUCAUGCCUCCCAGAACCUGUCUGGUGUCAAGGCACGGAAACACAACGAAAUGCCGGGGCUCCAGUUGUCUGCGUGUCUCCACUGACAUUUUGGGGUUGGCCUUCGUGGUCGUUUUGCUCGUGAACAUGCAGACAUCUGCAUCUCAUCACGCUUCAGGAUCCAAUACCAAACCAAUCGCUACAAUUCUAAGAUGCCACCAAAGACGGGAUCCUACAGAUGGCCCAGCGUGAUGGGUAAUGGGCUCAACCUCCCUCAACCGUGGUUUUCCCAUCUGCAAAAUGGAGCCAGUAACACCUGCUUCGACGGGGCAGUACCAGGAACACAUUACACAGAAAGAAUUUGCGAGUAGCUCACAGGAUCUUUGCAAAGUGGAUUCCAAGCUGAGCUCCCAGGAGUGAAUCCCUGCCAAUACUGCAGGGCUGGCCACCACGGAAGCGACCACCUCCAGUAGGAUCCAAGGACUUCAAAUCCUGGGCGGCUCUCACGGCUCCAGGUCCCAGGACCACUCUCGUGGUCUGCAGCAUCAAAGCAGGUGUGUCCAGAGAGACCUGUGGAACAGUAGAAGGUGACCACUACCUGGGAAAGAACUGUGACCCCAGGAUGCUGGGGAGACAGGACAUGUGUCAUAUUCACUUUGCACAGUAUGAGGACCUGAGUCAGUCUUUAAACUUGGUGUUGUCCAAGGUGACAUGGUCUUGUGGACAGCAGGGCGUCUUCCCCACUCUUCCCAGAGGGCCUGACCUCCGGCCGAGACACUUCCUUUGUGUCCCUUCCCUGGACUCCGGCUGGAGGACGCCCUCACCGGCGUGUGGGCCACACAUUCUGGAAGAGUAACACAGCAUCAGUCGCGCUCCUCGCACUAGCCAGGAAGGAGUAACUUUGUGUUAAAUGCUCAGCAAAUGGAUACAAACUAUGUACAGUCAUCGCAGCCCCCAGCAACUCAGCAAGUCCUUUCCAGGCUCAGAGGUGAGAAGGCAGAGACUGUAUGGCCAGGGCCAGGGCCCUCAGGAGCUAAGUCCAGACUCUGCCCACCCAAGAGGCUCUCAGGUUAGGGUCUAGAACCACCUUCUCCUGGAAGCUUGCCAGACCGGAGAAUCCAAUCUCUGAGAAUGCCAGAUGAAGCCGCCGGUAUUGUCCCAGACAUCCUGGUCUUGGCCCUUGGACAUCAACAGUGUGGUCCGGGUAGCUGCCACCAACUGGCCCCAGAGGCAGGACCCUCCACUGUGCUGGCCAUGCUCUGUUUGCCUCGGUCCCACCCUGGUGCAUUCUCUACCCCUCUCUG